rnacentral:rRNA from 1 species
GUCUACCAUCAUAGUGUCUUCAGUGCACUCAAAUUCGUCUGGUCUCAGAAGCUAAAGAGGGUCAGGCCUAGUUAGUACUCAGUGUGGAAGAAC